AACGGUUGCCGCGGGAGGCCGAUUGCAAGUGACUACAAGCAAUCGGAGCGCGUGUUAAGGUACACACGUGUGCGGCGCGGCGGCGCAAGGCGAGGACGUAGAUCUGCAGAUAGCGUCCUACCCAGAGACUGAGAUAGCAGUACCCGAGUUGGUGGUCUAGCUUGGGGGGGUU